rnacentral:rRNA from 1 species
AUAGAACCUACCUUUUACAGAGGAAUAGCCUUUAGAAAUGAAGAUUAAUGCCUCAUGGUAUUGUAGACUGGCAUCAGUUUAUAAUUAAAGAUUUAUCGGUAAAAGAUGGCUAUGCGUCCUAUUAGUUAGUUGGUAAGGUAACGGCUUACCAAGACAGCGAUAGGUAGGGGUCCUGAGAGGGAGAUCCCCCACACUGGUACUGAGACACGGACCAGACUCCUACGGGAGGUAGCAGUGAGGAAUAUUGGACAAUGGAGGAGACUCUGAUCCAGCCAUGCCGCGUGUAGGAAGAAUGCCCUAUGGGUUGUAAACUACUUUUAUACAGGAAGAAACACUGGUAUGUAUAC